AACGCACAUUGCGCCUCCUGGUAUUCCGGGGGGCAUGCCUGUCCGAGCGUCAUUAAAAUAAACUUCAAGCCACUUUAUUGUGCCUUGGUCUUGAGGGAUGAGCGCAGGUAAGAUCAUGUCUAAUUGCUGCUCACCCAUCGAAUUCCAGUGGCGGAAUCAAACACGGAUUGUCUUGGUGUGAUAAGUUUUUUCACGUCACCAAUCAGCUCGUAUUAUAUUCUAGCCAAUUCAAACUCCCCUCUGUCUUUAAUCAACGACCUCGGAUCAGGUAGGGAUACCCGCUGAACUUAA
rnacentral:misc_RNA from 1 species